rnacentral:rRNA from 1 species
GAUGAACGCUAGCGGGAGGCCUAACACAUGCAAGCCGAGCGGUAUUGUUUCUUCGGAAAUGAGAGAGCGGCGUACGGGUGCGGAACACGUGUGCAACCUGCCUUUAUCUGGGGGAUAGCCUUUCGAAAGGAAGAUUAAUACUCCAUAAUAUAUUGAACGGCAUCGUUUAAUAUUGAAAGCUCCGGCGGAUAGAGAUGGGCACGCGCAAGAUUAGCUAGUUGGUGAGGUAACGGCUCACCAAGGCGAUGAUCUUUAGGGGGCCUGAGAGGGUGAUCCCCCACACUGGUACUGAGACACGGACCAGACUCCUACGGGAGGCAGCAGUGAGGAAUAUUGGUCAAUGGGUGCAAGCCUGAACCAGCCAUCCCGCGUGAAGGACGACUGCCCUAUGGGUUGUAAACUUCUUUUGUAUAGGGAUAAACCUACCCUCGUGAGGGUAGCUGAAGGUACUAUACGAAUAAGCACCGGCUAACUCCGUGCCAGCAGCCGCGGUAAUACGGAGGGUGCAAGCGUUAUCCGGAUUUAUUGGGUUUAAAGGGUCCGUAGGCGGACUUAUAAGUCAGUGGUGAAAGCCUGUCGCUUAACGAUAGAACUGCCAUUGAUACUGUAAGUCUUGAGUAUAUUUGAGGUAGCUGGAAUAAGUAGUGUAGCGGUGAAAUGCAUAGAUAUUACUUAGAACACCAAUUGCGAAGGCAGGUUACCAAGAUAUAACUGACGCUGAGGGACGAAAGCGUGGGGAGCGAACAGGAUUAGAUACCCUGGUAGUCCACGCCGUAAACGAUGCUAACUCGUUUUUGGGCUUUAGGGUUCAGAGACCAAGCGAAAGUGAUAAGUUAGCCACCUGGGGAGUACGCUCGCAAGAGUGAAACUCAGAGGAAUUGACGGGGGCCCGCACAAGCGGUGGAUUAUGUGGUUUAAUUCGAUGAUACGCGAGGAACCUUACCAAGACUUAAAUGGGAAUUGACAGCUUUAGAAAUAGAGCUUUCUUCGGACAAUUUUCAAGGUGCUGCAUGGUUGUCGUCAGCUCGUGCCGUGAGGUGUUAGGUUAAGUCCUGCAACGAGCGCAACCCCUGUCACUAGUUGCCAUCAUUCAGUUGGGGACUCUAGUGAGACUGCCUACGCAAGUAGAGAGGAAGGUGGGGAUGACGUCAAAUCAUCACGGCCCUUACGUCUUGGGCCACACACGUAAUACAAUGGCCGGUACAGAGGGCAGCUACACAGCGAUGUGAUGCAAAUCUCGAAAGCCGGUCUCAGUUCGGAUUGGAGUCUGCAACUCGACUCUAUGAAGCUGGAAUCGCUAGUAAUCGCGCAUCAGCCAUGGCGCGGUGAAUACGUUCCCGGGCCU